UCGGGUACAGGUAAACAUGUGAAAACAACAAUCAAUAAAGGCCAACCAAGCAACAGUUCAGAAGAAGCAUUGACAGUGUCAAUAGAAAGGUACUACAGGGGAGCUAUGCCAAUCCAGAGGAGAAUGGUGUCUGGAUGAUGAUAGUGGUAACCUGUGCGUGCCUGAUGUGCAGUAAUAACCCACGGAACCUAGGCUUAAAAACACACUUCCCAUGAUGAGAUGGAACCAGUUGUGGCCUCCAGCACUGGGUUCCCAGAAAAAGUGGCACAGCCUGACCUGGAUUCAAACAUGCAAAACCUGUGAUGGCACACCUUAUGCCUUUGAUCUCAUGUGGAUCGGUUUCCUUAUGUGCCUGCGCCACCAUUACGGCAUCAUCCUUUUGGCAAAGUCCUUGGUGCGCACUUCACCGCUCCCGCCCCCACACCCCAUUCCAAAAAUAAAUAAAUAAAU